AUUGAACGCUGGCGGAAUGCUUUACACAUGCAAGUCGAGCGGCAGCGCGGUCUUCGGACUGGCGGCGAGCGGCGAACGGGUGAGUAAUACAUCGGAACAUGCCCAGUCGUGGGGGAUAACACUUCGAAAGAAGUGCUAAUACCGCAUACGUCCUGAGGGAGAAAGCGGGGGAUCGCAAGACCUCGCGCGAUUGGAGUGGCCGAUGUCAGAUUAGCUAGUUGGUGGGGUAAAGGCCUACCAAGGCAACGAUCUGUAGCUGGUCUGAGAGGAUGAUCAGCCACACUGGGACUGAGACACGGCCCAGACUCCUACGGGAGGCAGCAGUGGGGAAUUUUGGACAAUGGGGGCAACCCUGAUCCAGCCAUUCCGCGUGAGUGAAGAAGGCCUUCGGGUUGUAAAGCUCUUUCGGCAGGAACGAAACGGUGAGCUCUAACAUAGCUCGCUAAUGACG
rnacentral:rRNA from 1 species